rnacentral:rRNA from 1 species
UUGCCUCAGUAACGGCGAGUGAAGCGGCAACAGCUCAAAUUUGAAAUCUGGCCCCCGGGUCCGAGUUGUAAUUUGUAGAGGAAGCUUUUGGUGCGGCACCUUCCGAGUCCCCUGGAACGGGACGCCAUAGAGGGUGAGAGCCCCGUCCGGUCGGAUGCCAAUCCUCUGUAAAGCUCCUUCGACGAGUCGAGUAGUUUGGGAAUGCUGCUCUAAAUGGGAGGUAUAUGUCUUCUAAAGCUAAAUACCGGCCAGAGACCGAUAGCGCACAAGUAGAGUGAUCGAAAGAUGAAAAGCACUUUGAAAAGAGAGUUAAAAAGUACGUGAAAUUGUUGAAAGGGAAGCGCUCAUGACCAGACGUGGGCUUGGUUGAUCAACCUGGGUUCUCCCUGGUGCACUCUUCCUAGCCCAGGCCAGCAUCAGUUUGCCUCGGGGGACAAAGGCGUCGGGAAUGUGGCUCCUCCGGGAGUGUUAUAGCCCGUCGCGUAAUACCCUGCGGCAGACUGAGGUUCGCGUUCCGCAAGGAUGCUGGCGUAAUGGUCAUCAGCGACCCGUCUUGAAACACGGACCAAGGAGUCGUCUUCGUAUGCGAGUGUUCGGGUGUCAAACCCCUACGCGAAAUGAAAGUGAACGUAGGUGAGAGCUUCGGCGCAUCACCGACCGAUCCUGAUGUUCUCGGAUGGAUUUGAGUAAGAGCAUACGGGGCCGGACCCGAAAGAAGGUGAACUAUGCCUGUAUAGGGUGAAGCCAGAGGAAACUCUGGUGGAGGCUCGCAGCGGUUCUGACGUGCAAAUCGAUCGUCA